AUUGAACGCUGGCGGCAGGCUUAACACAUGCAAGUCGAGCGGGGUGAUGGUGCUUGCACUAUCACUUAGCGGCGGACGGGUGAGUAAUGCUUAGGAAUCUGCCUAUUAGUGGGGGACAACAUCUCGAAAGGGAUGCUAAUACCGCAUACGUCCUACGGGAGAAAGCAGGGGAUCACUUGUGACCUUGCGCUAAUAGAUGAGCCUAAGUCGGAUUAGCUAGUUGGUGGGGUAAAGGCCUACCAAGGCGACGAUCUGUAGCGGGUCUGAGAGGAUGAUCCGCCACACUGGGACUGAGACACGGCCCAGACUCCUACGGGAGGCAGCAGUGGGGAAUAUUGGACAAUGGAGGGAACCCUGAUCCAGCCAUGCCGCGUGUGUGAAGAAGGCCCUAUGGUUGUAAAGCACUUUAAGCGAGGAGGAGGCUCUUUUGGUUAAUACCCAAGAUGAGUGGACGUUACUCGCUGAAUAAGCACCGGCUAACUCUGUGCCAGCCGCCGCCGUAA
rnacentral:rRNA from 1 species